UUAACUCAACUUUGAAUGCAGUUGGAACCUUUGCCUAUGUUUGUCGCUAGGGGCGCUGUCCCAACUGCGUACAAAUUUGAGUUA
rfam:Bombyx mori DNA, contig: Bm_scaf30_contig18864, strain: p50T/Dazao, build 2, whole genome shotgun sequence.